rnacentral:rRNA from 1 species
GACGAACGCUGGCGGCGUGCUUAACACAUGCAAGUCGAACGGAAAGGCCCUGCUUGCAGGGUACUCGAGUGGCGAACGGGUGAGUAACACGUGGGUGAUCUGCCCUGCACUUCGGGAUAAGCCUGGGAAACUGGGUCUAAUACCGGAUAGGAGCCAUUUUUAGUGUGAUGGUUGGAAAGUUUUGUCGGUGUAGGAUGAGCUCGCGGCCUAUCAGCUUGUUGGGGGGGUAAUGGCCUACCAAGGCGGCGACGGGUAGCCGGCCUGAGAGGGUGGACGGCCACAUUGGGACUGAGAGACGGCCCAGACUCCUACGGGAGGCAGCAGUGGGGAAUAUUGCACAAUGGGCGCAAGCCUGAUGCAGCGACGCCGCGUGGGGGAUGACGGCCUUCGGGUUGUAAACUCCUUUCGCUAGGGACGAAGCUUUUUGUGACGGUACCUAGAUAAGAAGCACCGGCUAACUACGUG